GGGCUCGUAGCUCAGUUGGCUAGAGCAUCGUCUUUGCAUGGCGGAGGUCGCGGGUUCGAUUCCCGCCGAGUCCACCA
rnacentral:tRNA from 1 species